AGUCCACGCCCUAAACGAUGUCUACUAGUUGUCGGGUCUUAAUUGACUUGGUAACGCAGCUAACGCGUGAAGUAGACCGCCUGGGGAGUACGGUCGCAAGAUUAAAACUCAAAGGAAUUGACGGGGACCCGCACAAGCGGUGGAUGAUGUGGAUUAAUUCGAUGCAACGCGAAAAACCUUACCUACCCUUGACAUGGAUGGAAUCCCGGAGAGAUUUGGAAGUGCCCGAAAGGGAACCAUUACACAGGUGCUGCAUGGCUGUCGUCAGCUCGUGUCGUGAGAUGUUGGGUUAAGUCCCGCAACGAGCGCAACCCUUGUCAUUAGUUGCUACGAAAGAGCACUCUAAUGAGACUGCCGGUGACAAACCGGAGGAAGGUGGGGAUGACGUCAAGUCCUCAUGGCCCUUAUGGGUAGGGCUUCACACGUCAUGCAAUGGUACAUACAGAGGGCCGCCAACCCGCGAGGGGGAGCUAAUCCCAGAAAGUGUAUCGUAGUCCGGAUCGUAGUCUGCAACUCGACUACGUGAAGUCGGAAUCGCUAGUAAUCGCGGAUCAGCAUGUCGCGGUGAAUACGUUCCCGGGUCUUGUACACACCGCCCGUCACACCAUGGGAGCGGGUUUUACCAGAAGUAGGUAGCUUAACCGCAAGGAGGGCGCUUACCACGGUAGGAUUCGUGACUGGGGUGAAGUCGUAACAAGGUAACC
rnacentral:rRNA from 1 species